rnacentral:rRNA from 2 species
UUAAGCGACUAAGCGUACACGGUGGAUGCCCUGGCAGUCAGAGGCGAUGAAGGACGUGCUAAUCUGCGAUAAGCGUCGGUAAGGUGAUAUGAACCGUUAUAACCGGCGAUUUCCGAAUGGGGAAACCCAGUGUGUUUCGACACACUAUCAUUAACUGAAUCCAUAGGUUAAUGAGGCGAACCGGGGGAACUGAAACAUCUAAGUACCCCGAGGAAAAGAAAUCAACCGAGAUUCCCCCAGUAGCGGCGAGCGAACGGGGAGCAGCCCAGAGCCUGAAUCAGUGUGUGUGUUAGUGGAAGCGUCUGGAAAGGCGCGCGAUACAGGGUGACAGCCCCGUACACAAAAAUGCACAUAUUGUGAGCUCGAUGAGUAGGGCGGGACACGUGGUAUCCUGUCUGAAUAUGGGGGGACCAUCCUCCAAGGCUAAAUACUCCUGACUGACCGAUAGUGAACCAGUACCGUGAGGGAAAGGCGAAAAGAACCCCGGCGAGGGGAGUGAAAAAGAACCUGAAACCGUGUACGUACAAGCAGUGGGAGCCUCUUUUAUGGGGUGACUGCGUACCUUUUGUAUAAUGGGUCAGCGACUUAUAUUCUGUAGCAAGGUUAACCGAAUAGGGGAGCCGAAGGGAAACCGAGUCUUAACUGGGCGUUAAGUUGCAGGGUAUAGACCCGAAACCCGGUGAUCUAGCCAUGGGCAGGUUGAAGGUUGGGUAACACUAACUGGAGGACCGAACCGACUAAUGUUGAAAAAUUAGCGGAUGACUUGUGGCUGGGGGUGAAAGGCCAAUCAAACCGGGAGAUAGCUGGUUCUCCCCGAAAGCUAUUUAGGUAGCGCCUCGUGAAUUCAUCUCCGGGGGUAGAGCACUGUUUCGGCAAGGGGGUCAUCCCGACUUACCAACCCGAUGCAAACUGCGAAUACCGGAGAAUGUUAUCACGGGAGACACACGGCGGGUGCUAACGUCCGUCGUGAAGAGGGAAACAACCCAGACCGCCAGCUAAGGUCCCAAAGUCAUGGUUAAGUGGGAAACGAUGUGGGAAGGCCCAGACAGCCAGGAUGUUGGCUUAGAAGCAGCCAUCAUUUAAAGAAAGCGUAAUAGCUCACUGGUCGAGUCGGCCUGCGCGGAAGAUGUAACGGGGCUAAACCAUGCACCGAAGCUGCGGCAGCGACACUAUGUGUUGUUGGGUAGGGGAGCGUUCUGUAAGCCUGUGAAGGUGUACUGUGAGGUAUGCUGGAGGUAUCAGAAGUGCGAAUGCUGACAUAAGUAACGAUAAAGCGGGUGAAAAGCCCGCUCGCCGGAAGACCAAGGGUUCCUGUCCAACGUUAAUCGGGGCAGGGUGAGUCGACCCCUAAGGCGAGGCCGAAAGGCGUAGUCGAUGGGAAACAGGUUAAUAUUCCUGUACUUGGUGUUACUGCGAAGGGGGGACGGAGAAGGCUAUGUUGGCCGGGCGACGGUUGUCCCGGUUUAAGCGUGUAGGCUGGUUUUCCAGGCAAAUCCGGAAAAUCAAGGCUGAGGCGUGAUGACGAGGCACUACGGUGCUGAAGCAACAAAUGCCCUGCUUCCAGGAAAAGCCUCUAAGCAUCAGGUAACAUCAAAUCGUACCCCAAACCGACACAGGUGGUCAGGUAGAGAAUACCAAGGCGCUUGAGAGAACUCGGGUGAAGGAACUAGGCAAAAUGGUGCCGUAACUUCGGGAGAAGGCACGCUGAUAUGUAGGUGAAGCGACUUGCUCGUGGAGCUGAAAUCAGUCGAAGAUACCAGCUGGCUGCAACUGUUUAUUAAAAACACAGCACUGUGCAAACACGAAAGUGGACGUAUACGGUGUGACGCCUGCCCGGUGCCGGAAGGUUAAUUGAUGGGGUUAGCGGUAACGCGAAGCUCUUGAUCGAAGCCCCGGUAAACGGCGGCCGUAACUAUAACGGUCCUAAGGUAGCGAAAUUCCUUGUCGGGUAAGUUCCGACCUGCACGAAUGGCGUAAUGAUGGCCAGGCUGUCUCCACCCGAGACUCAGUGAAAUUGAACUCGCUGUGAAGAUGCAGUGUACCCGCGGCAAGACGGAAAGACCCCGUGAACCUUUACUAUAGCUUGACACUGAACAUUGAGCCUUGAUGUGUAGGAUAGGUGGGAGGCUUUGAAGUGUGGACGCCAGUCUGCAUGGAGCCGGCCUUGAAAUACCACCCUUUAAUGUUUGAUGUUCUAACGUUGGCCCCUGAUCGGGGUUGCGGACAGUGUCUGGUGGGUAGUUUGACUGGGGCGGUCUCCUCCUAAAGAGUAACGGAGGAGCACGAAGGUUGGCUAAUCCUGGUCGGACAUCAGGAGGUUAGUGCAAUGGCAUAAGCCAGCUUGACUGCGAGCGUGACGGCGCGAGCAGGUGCGAAAGCAGGUCAUAGUGAUCCGGUGGUUCUGAAUGGAAGGGCCAUCGCUCAACGGAUAAAAGGUACUCCGGGGAUAACAGGCUGAUACCGCCCAAGAGUUCAUAUCGACGGCGGUGUUUGGCACCUCGAUGUCGGCUCAUCACAUCCUGGGGCUGAAGUAGGUCCCAAGGGUAUGGCUGUUCGCCAUUUAAAGUGGUACGCGAGCUGGGUUUAGAACGUCGUGAGACAGUUCGGUCCCUAUCUGCCGUGGGCGCUGGAGAACUGAGGGGGGCUGCUCCUAGUACGAGAGGACCGGAGUGGACGCAUCACUGGUGUUCGGGUUGUCAUGCCAAUGGCACUGCCCGGUAGCUAAAUGCGGAAGAGAUAAGUGCUGAAAGCAUCUAAGCACGAAACUUGCCCCGAGAUGAGUUCUCCCUGAGACUUAGAGUCUCCUGAAGGAACGUUGAAGACGACGACGUUGAUAGGCCGGGUGUGUAAGCGCAGCGAUGCGUUGAGCUAACCGGUACUAAUGAACCGUGAGGCUUAACCUU